GACGAACGUUGGCGGCGUGCUUAACACAUGCAAGUCGAGCGGAGCGGCGAACGGGUGAGUAACGCGUGAGUAACUGACCCCCUCUCUGGGAUAACAGUUGGACACGGCUGCUAAUACCGGAUAGUGGGGGAUGACUCGGGUCCUAUCAGUUUGUUGGUGGGGUAGUGGCUUACCAAGGCGACGACGGGGAGCCGGCCUGAGAGGGCGACCGUCCACAGUGGGCUGAGAUACGGCCCGAAAUCCUACGGGGGGCAGCCGUGGGGAAUAUUGCGCAAGGGGGGAAGCCCUGAUGCAGCAACGCGCGUGCGGGAUGACGGCCUUCGGGUUGUAAGCCGCUUUCAGCCAUGACGCGGUAGUGGCAGAAGAAGCACCGGCUAACUACGUGCCAGCAGCCGCGGUAAUUC
rnacentral:rRNA from 1 species